AAUAAAAUGCAUUUUGUAUGAUCUCCCUUAUUUUGUUAAAAAUAUUAAUAUUUUCACAGAUUCUGCAAGUGGUUCACAUACUUUUUCUUGCAACUGUAUAUAUAUAUAUAUAUAUAUAUAUAUAUAUAUAUGUAGCUAUACACUUGACAUUAAGCCUUGUCACGUGCUUGUCCUUUGUACAAGUAAAUCUGUCAUUCACUUGUCAGAGUAAAAAAGUUGCUAGUCUGGAAAAAAUAUGAUUUUUUUUUUUUUUUUUUUUUUGUGGUGUAAAUAUAAUUUAUUCUGAAGCAAUCGUUCAGAAUAUUGCAGCUUUGACCUAUUUAAAUCUGCAUAUUUGUGAUAUUUUCCCGAGGGCAUUUUUUUUUUUUUACUUUUAUAAAGGGUGUUUUUACCCCUAAUCUUAUUAAAUGUAUGAUUCAUUUUAAAUUCUUACAUUUUAUCAAUAAAUUCAGUUAGAAUAAGACACUAUAGGGCUGUUAGCAAUCAAAUUAAAUAAUUUACAAUGAAAAAAUUACAACUGCAUUAAAUAAUGUUAUAAGAUUGUUUUAAAUAUUUUUUGAAAAUACAAAUAAGAAAUGUUGGGGGAAAAUGAUACUUUUAAACAUGAAACUAAACCGCCAUUAGGUGGCGGCAAGUGACCGUCUUAAUAAGUGAGUCAUUGAGUCAUUCAUUCAAACGAUUCGUUCAGACGGCAGUUGUUUAUAAAUGGGUCAUUGAAUCAUUGACUCAACCGAUUCGUUCAUAACGCUGAAUCAAAACACGGCUGAGUGUUGCUGUGAGAUACGCUGUGGUCUUUGUUUGGACUCAUUUCGCUGCUGAAAUGAAACAAAAACAGUCAAUAUUGCGUCUAAAAUCCUCUGCCACAGGUCUCUCUGCUUCUUUUUCCUUCACUUCCUCGGCUGUUUCAAGAAAUAAAACAAACAAAACAAAAGGCACAAGUACACCUCAUUCUCCUGUUCCCAGACAGAAGAAGCCGCAGUCCUCUGAACUCAUCUCAGCUCUGAAACUUUGAUGCCCUUGAAUGACCUCUUUCGAGACAACCGCUUGGUGACAGCUGACAUGAAAGCAGUCUCUCAUGGAUUCUACCCAUUUCACUGGCAGCUGAACAGCAAUACGCCAGCUGCUGUUCUUUGAUCCACCCAGCAUGAAUUAGACUUCAAGCACUAACUCAAAUGGGGUCCUUUCCUACCAGCGUAUUUGGAAAUGUAUGGUAGCAAACUUAGAUUAAACUAUUUUUAUGUGGCAGCAAAACGAUGUCUGAAUUAUUUUUGUAUUUGGUUCAAAUUGAGCAAACCUAUAGGCAGCACAUUCAAAUUAUAUAGUUUUUUUUUUUUUUCUUUUUUUUGAAAAUUAAAGUCCCCCUGUAGUCAAUAAUUUUAUCCCUUAAAACUCAUCUUUGAUCACCAAAAUGACACAUUUAAACAUUGUUUUCAUGUGAAAAAAAUUCUUAAUGCUUGAAUGUAAUAAUAGCUUGAAUGUAACUCUACACCUUUGCUUCAUUUAAUAUACACGGAUCUAUGAAUAUGAUAAUUAGCACCGCCUUCACUCACACAAGCUCAGAGAUCCACUCGGUCAACUUUACUGAGGUAAACGCUGCACAAUGGUAUCACUCUUACAAUGUCGGACACAUAAUGGUAAUUAAUGUGAUUAGCCUUUUGCUUCACUACGUUAUCAAACUGCUAAUGUGUUGCUAAUGCUACACAACCAUUUCUUAAAGCAUAUUAAAAACACCACUUAGACACACAAACAACAUUAAAAACUUGAUUUUCACCACAGGGGGACUUUAAAUUAGACUGAUAUUACAAUUAGAGAUGGGAAUCAUAAAGAAUUCUUAAGAAUUUUUGUUAAUGAAUGAUUAUUGUUCUUUAACGGUUCCACCGUUUAGCACUUGUAAAGAAUAAAUAUUUAGAAAAAAAGAAAUGCAAUGUUAUUGCCAAAUGAUAUAAUUAAAAGAUCUUUGCAAACAGAUCUUGCAAAAGAUGUGUUUACACAAACUUUGCUGAAAUAUGUUUAAAACAAUACUUGACAAACAAAAAUUUGUUAAAGGGAUAGUUCACCCAAAAAUGAAAAUUUUGUCAUCAUUUACUCACCCUCAAGUUGU